UACGUAGGGUGCGAGCGUUAAUCGGAAUUACUGGGCGUAAAGUGUGCGCAGGCGGCCGCGCAAGUCGAGUGUGAAAGCCCCGAGCUUAACUUGGGAAUUGCGCUCGAAACUACGUGGCUGGAGUGUGGCAGAGGAAGGUGGAAUUCCAGGUGUAGCGGUGAAAUGCGCAGAUAUCAGGAGGAACACCAAUGGCGAAGGCAGCUCACUGGGACGGUAUUGACGCUGAGACGCGAAAGCGUGGGGAGCAAACAGG
rnacentral:rRNA from 1 species